rnacentral:rRNA from 1 species
UGGGGAAUUUUGGACAAUGGGCGCAAGCCUGAUCCAGCCAUGCCGCGUGCAGGAUGAAGGCCCUCGGGUUGUAAACUGCUUUUGUACGGAACGAAAAGCCUCUUUCUAAUAAAGAGGGGUGAUGCCGGUACCGUAAGAAUAAGCACCGGCUAACUACGUGCCAGCAGCCGCGGAAAUACGUAGGGUGCGAGCGUUAAUCGGAAUUACUGGGCGUAAAGCGUGCGCAGGCGGUCUUGCAAGACAGUGGUGAAAUCCCCGGGCUCAACCUGGGAACUGCAAUUGUGACUGCAAUGCUGGAGUACGGCAGGGGGGGAUGGUAUUCCGCGUGUAGCAGUGAAAUGCGUAGAUAUGCGGAGGAACACCGAUGGCGAAGGCAGUCCCCUGGGCCUGUACUGACGCUCAUGCACGAAAGCGUGGGGAGCAAACA